GUCUCCAGCCAUGCCACCCUGAACGCACCCAAUCUCAUCUGAUCUCAGAAGCUAAGCAGGAUAGGGCCUGGUUAGUACUUGGAUGGGAGACUAUCUAGGAAUACCGGAUGCUGUAGGCG
rnacentral:rRNA from 1 species